GACGAAGGGGGCUAGCGUUGUUCGGAAUCAUUGGGCUUAAAGAGCACGUAGGCGGCCCGCCAAGUGUCUUGUGAAAUCCCCCGGCUCAACCGGGGAAUGGCUCGGCAAACUGGUGGGCUUGAGGCAGGUAGGGGCGAGUGGAACUCUUGGUGGAGCGGUGGAAUGCGUAGAUAUCAAGAGGAACGCAGGAGGCGAAGGCGACUCGCUGGGCCUGUCCUGACGCUCAGGUGCGAAAGCCAGGGGAGCAAACGGG
rnacentral:rRNA from 1 species